CAGUAGCCGCGGUAAUACAGAGGGUGCGAGCGUUAAUCGGAUUUACUGGGCGUAAAGCGUGCGUAGGCGGCUUCUUAAGUCGGAUGUGAAAUCCCUGAGCUUAACUUAGGAAUUGCAUUCGAUACUGGGAAGCUAGAGUAUGGGAGAGGAUGGUAGAAUUCCAGGUGUAGCGGUGAAAUGCGUAGAGAUCUGGAGGAAUACCGAUGGCGAAGGCAGCCAUCUGGCCUAAUACUGACGCUGAGGUACGAAAGCAUGGGGAGCAAACAGGAUUAGAGACCCGUGUAGUCCCUGUCUCUUAUAC
rnacentral:rRNA from 1 species